rnacentral:rRNA from 1 species
AUUGAACGCUGGCGGCAGGCCUAACACAUGCAAGUCGAGCGGAUGAAGGGAGCUUGCUCCUGGAUUCAGCGGCGGACGGGUGAGUAAUGCCUAGGAAUCUGCCUGGUAGUGGGGGAUAACGUCCGGAAACGGGCGCUAAUACCGCAUACGUCCUGAGGGAGAAAGUGGGGGAUCUUCGGACCUCACGCUAUCAGAUGAGCCUAGGUCGGAUUAGCUAGUUGGUGGGGUAAAGGCCUACCAAGGCGACGAUCCGUAACUGGUCUGAGAGGAUGAUCAGUCACACUGGAACUGAGACACGGUCCAGACUCCUACGGGAGGCAGCAGUGGGGAAUAUUGGACAAUGGGCGAAAGCCUGAUCCAGCCACGCCGCGUGUGUGGAGAAGGUCUUCGGAUUGUAAAGCACUUUAAGUUGGGAGGAAGGGCAGUAAGUUAAUACCUUGCUGUUUUGACGUUACCAACAGAAUAAGCACCGGCUAACUUCGUG